ACAGGUUCCACAGGCCCUCCCAAAAGCUCAUGUCUUCAGAAAGACUCUUCACACACCAGAUGGGCAAGCCACAGCUCACGUUUGGAGCCUAGCCAGCCCAGCAUGGCCAGAGAGAAGCUGUUGGCAUCUGAUUCUGGGCAAGCCAUAGCUCACUGUCUGCUGGAUUCAGGACACAAGAGACAGUGAAGAUCUGACUCUCAGCUGCAGGAUUCUAAGGGCUGAAGGUGAACUUUGACCAGACCUGAGACCCAGCACCAGGAACAAGUGUCUCUACAGAGUCAGACAUGCUGCCAGCAGGUGUCUGCACAAAAAUGUGGACACCAGAAGACA
rnacentral:lncRNA from 1 species